CGUGUGUGAGUUAAGGUCGAGAGCUGACGGGCAAGGAGGCGGAGGAACUGGAUAGAGAAGAAGAAGAAGAAGAAGAAGAAGAAAGUGGAAAAAUAGAAGAGAAAAAAGCCGCUCGAACUGUUUGGUUCACAACUAGUCAAAAAGAAAGAAGAAGCGAGUCGUUGCCUGCUCCGCCCUCUUAUGGUGUAUACCUACCUCUUUUUACAGGCUACGUUAUAUUAUUAGGCUGUUGGGGCUUCGCUCAUUCCCAUUUAGGAUGUGUACGGCAUCUAUAUGUUUAGAUAGAGGUAGAUAGAUACAUCCCUUAUAUUCUUUCUUAUAUACCCAUUUCUUCCUCUUUUUUUUUUCCGACAGUCAAAAACAUCUGAAAGAUUUCUCGUCUUUUUUGUGUGUCUGUGUGUGGAGGGGGGUUCUCUUUUUGUCCAGGUCAAAGAAACAUCCCCCUCGGUCUUUGCUUCAAAUCUUAUCGUCGAGUUUCAUCGUAAAGGUUCCUUCGUCUUCACAUCUCCGCCUCUUUUCCCCAAUUCUCUUUCCUUCUAGUUGAAUGCAUAACUAGUCGUGCUGGUUACUAGUUUGUAUAUAUAUAUAUAUGGCAUGUGUAGAUGUUUGUGUGCCCAUCGCCCGGCCAGCCAACUGAGGGGUGGUAAUGCUGGACAGCCCGGGUGGCUGCGUUGCCACCCUACGUGCUGCCUUGGGUGGCGAACUAGCCACCCAACGCUGAAGCGUCCAGGGCGGCACGACCGCCACGGCGCCUCUUCUUCUUCCUUUUCUGUUUUACAAGAAAAUAUUCUUCGUCAAUUCUGAUCUCAAUUUUUGGAUGACGUCUUCUAAACAUUUUUCAAAUCACAGCUCUUCAUCCACGCGUUUUUAUCAAUGUACAGUGAAAUCAUCUACAUAUGGAUGUGUCCUGUCACCGAGCGCUGAAAAAGGACACGCAUUCCACCGACAACGCGCUACAUUCAAAUAUUGCGAAUAUAACAGCGCAACCUUUCCCCCCCCCCUCUCUCUCUGCUAUUUCAGAUUAUAUGUGUCGUUUAAUAAUAAUGUAUGUACAUUCCUAUUUCACGCGUCUCAUUCCAUAAAGAAAGAAAAAAGAAAAAAGGUGUCAUCCAACAGGUAAAAGUUGGUUCGUUCACCAUUCGUCCUCAUUCUCGUCCCCUUCUUUUCUCACCAAAAGUCACAACCAUCAGACACACAUAUUACCUGUCUUGCUCGUCGUGUUCUUAGUAAUGUCCCACUACGAAGGAAACCCCUCCCCUCGUCCGGUGUUGCUCAUUUGCCUUCAUCAGUCAGUCCAUUGGUAUAUUAUAUAUGCACUGGGCCUUGCGCGUCCCGAUGGUUGAAUUAUCAUUUUUACAGAAUUCAUUUCAGUUUGUUUGUACAGGCACACGCUGCUGUGGUAGAUGUCAAAGAAGAUGGACAAAUUUAUUAGAUAGGUCUAGAACCUCAAUAAAACACACGGCAGACAGCGAGGGAAAAAUAAGAGGGUGCGAUGCCCGGAUAUGAACAGACACUCUCACAAGAUUCAAGUCAACGUGUUUCUCUCGGAGACCAAAUCGUAAAUUUCAAAGUCCCGUCAGGGUCUCGCCGUCUCUUGUCGCGACCAUCUGAUCCAAGAGGAAACGGGGCAAGAAAAAACUUUCCCCCAAGUCGCAGUAUAAACAGCGGUGAAUGACAGGCCAAACUGUACACGCCACGAACGUAACAGCGCAAGUAUUAUACACAUGACAAGAUAGGGACGACACUGUAUGUGGAGAUGACGGCUGAAUGUUUAUCCCCUUUUUUUUGUCGUGAUUUUUAUCGAAUGGAUCACGAGAUGUGAUCCUGUCUGAAAAGAUUUCGGGGUUUCAGACUGGAGAGGAAACGACGGAGAUAGACAAUUUGAAAGGUGAUGGAAGACAGAAGAAUUAAAUCUAAAUGCCGUGAGAAAAUAAACAAAACAAAAGAAGGCAGACCUUGGGGGGGAGUGAUAUGUAUAAUAUCAACAUCUCCAAUUGAUGUUGAACGUUUCUAUUCUACGAGAGAAGGUCUACAACAUUUUUCCUUUUUUAAAAAUACUAACAUCAUCAACGCUCGCAUCGUUCCCAAAGGCCCGUGUAAUUAUCACGUGACGAUACAUCAGGUGUGGACUAGCUGAAGAUGAAACAAAAAAGAAACAAGACGCGUGAGUUACGGCCAAGAAGAUAAACCCCCCUUCUUUUUUUCUCUCUCUCUCUCUCCUGUUAUUUUCCUCUCACUCACUCACUCCCCUCACUCAUUUCUCCUUGUAAAAACGAGAAACAUUCUCUUCAUGUUUUGUUUCACAUUCCGACUUUUUUUUUUUCAAAGUUUUUCCCCCCUGUCUGUGUUUUGUUUUUUUAAAUCCUCCGCCGCAUGAUGACUGCACAUACGAUCCGUUAUCUUCACUAGACUACAUCCAACAUUUGGUAUACGUACUGGUGCUGGGUACAUUUUGGUGCUGACGUUAGCCACACAUCGCCCUCGUGAGUUUUCUAAAUCACAAGAGUACUUUUGAAGUUUCUUUUCUUUCCUUUAUUAUUUGAGAGAGAUAGAAAAAGACGGUGUUUAUUGUUUAAAGUACACGAGAAACAGUU
rnacentral:lncRNA from 1 species